UCGAGAAUCUUCCGCAAUGCACGAAAGUGUGACGGAGUGACGCCGCGUGGGUGACUGAUAAGUCUUCGGAUUGUAAAACCCUGUCAGCUACUAAGAAACGCGGGCGAUGAAUAAUCGUCCCGCUUGACAAAGGUAGCAGAGGAAGCACCGGCUAACUACGUGCCAGCAGCCGCGGUAAUACGUAGGGUGCUAACGUUGUUCGGAAUCACUGGGCAUAAAGCGCGUGUAGGCGGUCCAUUAAGUCCUGUGUGAAAUCCCCCGGCACAACCGGGGAACGGCACAGGAUACUGUUGGGCUAGAGUGCAGGAGGGGAGAGUGGAAUUCCUGGUGGAGCGGUGAAAUGCGUAGAUAUCAGGAGGAACGCCGGUGGCGAAAGCGACUCUCUGGUCUGCCACUGACGCUGAGGCGCGAAAGCUAGGGGAGCAAACGGG
rnacentral:rRNA from 1 species